GGGGUUGUGGCUCAGUGGUAGAGCACUUGCCUAGCACACAUGAGACACUGGGUUUGAUCCUCAGCACCA
rnacentral:tRNA from 1 species